rnacentral:rRNA from 1 species
UACAGAGGGUGCAAGCGUUAUUCGGAAUUACUGGGCGUAAAGCGCGUGUAGGCGGGUAAAGAAGUCGGAUGUGAAAUCCCUGGGCUCAACCCAGGACGUGCAUUCGAAACCAUUUAUCUUGAGUUCGGUAGGGGAGAGGGGAAUUCCAGGUGUAGAGGUGAAAUUCGUAGAUAUCUGGAGGAACACCAGUGGCGAAGGCGCCUCUCUGGGCCGAUACUGACGCUGAGACGCGAAAGCUUGGGGAGCAAACAGG